rnacentral:tRNA from 1 species
GUUGCUUUGGCAGAAUUAAUGCGUUAGACUUAGGAUCUAAUUAUAUAAAUUAUUUUAUAGGCAAUA